UACGUAGGGUGCGAGCGUUGUCCGGAAUUAUUGGGCGUAAAGAGCUUGUAGGCGGCUUGUCGCGUCUGCUGUGAAAAUCCGGGGCUCAACCCCGGACUUGCAGUGGGUACGGGCAGACUGAGAGUUCGGUAGGGGAGUGUGGAAUUCCUGGUGGAGCGGUGAAAUGCGCAGAUAUCAGGAGGAACACCCGUAGCGAAGGCGGCACUCUGGGCCGAUACUGACACUGAGGAGCGAAAGCGUGGGGAGCGAACAGG
rnacentral:rRNA from 1 species